rnacentral:lncRNA from 1 species
CAGAAAUAGGUUGGUAACUGACUCAUGUUAGAAAAUAUAACAUUUAAAAAUAGAGAUGAUCACAUGCUGUGGGUGAUCCCAUGGAAUGGGGCUUCAGGUGGAGGUAGAAUUUAAACCGUGUUUUCUGCUCUCCUGUCACAGCACUGCUAUUAUUUGUGUUUCCCACACAGAAUCACAGCUUUUUGCACCUCCUCAAUGUGACUUACCAUAUUUAGGAACUGAGGCAAUCUGAAACCUUUUGAGAUAUGGUGGCCAGAAUUAAAUGGAAUACUCAGAUUCUCAAUGCACGUUUAAAGGCUGAAACAUCCACAGCAGCACUGCAAAGAUGGCAGUUGACAGAAGACUCUUCAGGAUGAAAUGUCAUAGCCUUUUUUACCGUGGCUUGUGAUAAAAGUGAACCAUCAAAAUGGAAAUGGUGCAAAAGCAAAUAAAGUGGAAGAGAACAAGUGAGUGUGAAAGAAGAGCAACUCCAUGCUAUUGGCUGUACUCAGCAGGACUGAUGAGGGCAGGAACUUGCAGACAAGUAAAUAUUACACUGAUGGUUUCAAUAUUGACCCUUUGUAAUAUGAUGCAAGAGAACAGCUUCUCAGAAGAAUGACUGAUGGGGCUUCUUCAAGCAAAAUCACUUUUGUUUUACACACUGGCAAUUCAAAUGCUAAAUGUAUUUAGUUUUAAUUGUGCUUUGACUUUUUAACUAAGCUAGUAUGUAGUCUCCAUUUGUAUCCUACUGCUGGAAGAAAAUGAAAGAUAUAAAAGCACUUUUGAAAGGGUGUAAUUUCUGAAAUCUUCUAGGGCCUGAAUAUAUGCUUUGAAGAGUUUAAAUAAACUCCAGAGAAGGAGAUUGAAAUGAAGUCUU